CCUACGGGUGGCAGCAGUGGGGAAUAUUGGACAAUGGGCGAAAGCCUGAUCCAGCCAUGCCGCGUGUGUGAAGAAAGCCUUCGGGUUGUAAAGCACUUUCAGUGGGGAAGAAAGCCUUGGGGCUAAUACCCUCGAGGAAGGACAUCACCCACAGAAGAAGCACCGGCUAACUCCGUGCCAGCAGCCGCGGUAAUACGGAGGGUGCGAGCGUUAAUCGGAAUUACUGGGCGUAAAGCGCGCGUAGGCGGUCUGAUAAGCCGGUUGUGAAAGCCCCGGGCUCAACCUGGGAACGGCAUCCGGAACUGUCAGGCUAGAGUGCAGGAGAGGAAGGUAGAAUUCCCGGUGUAGCGGUGAAAUGCGUAGAGAUCGGGAGGAAUACCAGUGGCGAAGGCGGCCUUCUGGACUGACACUGACGCUGAGGUGCGAAAGCGUGGGUAGCAAACAGGAUUAGAUACCCUAGUAGUC
rnacentral:rRNA from 1 species